rnacentral:rRNA from 1 species
UACAGAGGAGCCAAGCGUUGUCCGGAUUGACUGGGCGUAAAGCGCACGCAGGCGGUUGCGCGCGUGGGGGGUGAAAUCUGGCCGCUUAACGGCCAGGCGCCAUCCCAUACGGCGCGACUGGAGUGAUGCAGAGGUCGAUGGAAUUGCCGGUGUAGUGGUGAAAUGCGCAGAUAUCGGGAGGAACACCAGUAGCGAAGGCGGCUCCCUGGGCCAUUCCUGACGCUGAGACGCGAAAGCGUGGGGAGCAAACAGG